AGCUUCGAUACUAGUCUCUUCUCUGUUACAGACUUCUGCUGUUUUGCGUACGUCCCGGCAAAAAUAAAAGAUAAACUGCGCAAACUCAUAUUUCUAAUUUGUCAAAUAAGCAACCUUAUCAUAUUCUGUUUAUUAACAAAAUAUUAUACGUAAUAUAAAAAUAAAUAUACAAAAUGUCUGGAAGAGGAAAAGGUGGCAAAGUAAAGGGAAAAUCAAAGUCACGAUCAAGUAGAGCUGGUUUGCAAUUCCCCGUUGGUCGAAUUCAUCGUUUGUUACGAAAAGGAAAUUACGCAGAACGCGUUGGUGCUGGUGCUCCUGUUUAUUUGGCAGCUGUAAUGGAAUAUCUAGCAGCUGAGGUACUUGAGUUAGCCGGAAAUGCUGCUCGUGAUAAUAAAAAAACCCGAAUAAUUCCUCGUCACCUGCAACUCGCUAUUCGUAAUGAUGAAGAGCUUAAUAAACUCUUGUCAGGCGUGACAAUUGCUCAAGGUGGGGUUCUUCCGAAUAUUCAAGCUGUCCUACUACCAAAAAAAACAGAAAAAGCAAGUUAAAUAACCAAGUCAUCAAUCAAAUCAUUCAGAAAUUUAAUACAGAAAAUAUAACCACAAAAGUUUAUUUAAUAAUAUUCAAUGACAUUAGCUAUAAACUUAAAGUAUAUUGUUUAAACUAUUUAACUGUCUUUCAAACGAAACAAAUUAAUGUUACUGCAUUUAAUGAUUAACAAAAGGAAACUUAUUUAUUCUUUUUAAAAUAAUAUAAAAUUUAUUUAUUGUUGAUUCUAGUGUUGAUGUAAUCAAAUGUUUAUGAAAAUUAAAUUAUAUAGUGAAUAUAUAUCAUUUCAAAUUGAUAAACAAUGAAUAGAGAUAGUGUGUAAUCAUUAUAUAACAUUUGUCUUAUUAAUCGCUUAAUUAAUAUAAAUGAAAUGUUCCAAAAAUGUAACGCUAGAAUAUAUAUUUUUAUCUGUAUUCAAUAAAAGCUCUGAAUGUUGUAACAGAUGAGUUUUGUGAACAAAAUACAUACCUAUUUAUUCUCACGCUUAAAACUGAUUGGAACUCGAAAAAUGACAUCUAAAAGUACAAAACCUCAAGUAUCUACUAUCAACAACAUCGUGCAAGAGGAAGUAUCAUUAAAAGGAGCUAAAGAUAGAUUGAAAAAGAUUUUCUACACUGGACUGAAUUCUGUGAAACCUCACAAAAUUAUUCAAAACAAAGU
rnacentral:misc_RNA from 1 species